ensembl:lncRNA
AAGGAGGAAGGAUCUCUAUCUGGAGAUCGUCCCUUUUGGAACUCUUCUGCGAGCCCAGGAUAUGGGGUGAAGUAAAUCACUGCUCUCUUAAUUACUGUGAAGAAAUGAAGAUGGGCUGGAGAAGAUGCAGUUUACUCAGGUCUCCCCAACUCACAGGCUGAAGGAAAGCACCAAGUUUAUAACUAAUUUUGAGCCUUCUGGAAGAGCAAAUAUUUUCCCCUCUAAUGGGAAGAUGCAAAGAGGAUUAUAACAGCAAUAUCCUUCCUCUGGCAGGUUUCUUUUCAGGCAAGAGAGGCCUUUCAUAAUAAGUAACUGCUCUUUGUUAUGAACCAGCCUGUGUCAGUGACCACAGGACUUUAGGGACACAAAAUAGAUGCUAUCUGCCCAAAACUCACAGUCAUUGACUAUCAUUUUGAUUUCUUUACUGGGUAAGAGCAAGAAAAUGGCUUUUAAAUUAGAUGUUGAACCUCUUCCAGAAUUGCAAUAUAAGACACUGAAUCAAUCAUUCUUCUUACAGUUACCUCCUACUCCACAAGCUCCUACUACCAUAAAAAUUGGUCACUGUAAACUGAGCUGAGUGAAUGAUUUCCAGAUUCAGAUUUGUUUGAGAAUAUUUUCCUCUUCCUCUUUUCGUUAUUUGUCUGUGAGCAGAUUGAUUUUCCCAAAUUUAUGUUUUUGGAAAACAUGUGCUGUAAUCCUUCUGCAAGUAAUUCGCUCCAUAAAUCAUGUGUGAGUGAUUUGCUAAGGAGUGUUCAAACAUUUGUCAUCACCCUCCAUGAACUUGUAACUCACGGUGUCUGCUCCUCAGCUCCAUGGCCAUAUCAAAGAGACACAUUUCCUUUUCCUUGGGGAAAUUCUCACUUUUGAAGCCCCUCCCCAGAAAACUUGUGCAGAAAGCAGGAAUUACAGAAAAUCAUUUCAGUCUUAGGCAGACACGUUCACUGAGAGGCUCACACUUCAUCAGCACCUGUAAUUUUCCCAUCAGCUAGCAGAUAGCUUUUCCAGCCCUAAAGAGAACAUCAUCUGCACGCUUCACAACUGGGAGCUGCUCCUAGCCAGAGCUUUUGGAAGACAUCAUUCCAGUUUGUCUCACAAAUUGUCUGUGCGAGACAAGGCCUUCAAUGACAUAUAGAGUGGUUGGGCUCCAAAUAAGGACUGAAAGUAUGCAGUGUUUCACCACUGAAGAAGUAUUUAUUAAUUCCCCAGAAAUUAUUACAGGAUUCUUCUGGUUGAUGUUGCAUCUUUAUGAAAAAUAACUCUAUCAAAGCACUGGCAGAGGUGUCUGAUUCAGACCCUACUGAAGCCGGUGGAAAGUCUUCGUUUUGAACUUAUCUGCCACUGAACAGAUGGAGGAAACUGCCCUUCUCAGCUUGAAAAAUAGCAUCUUUUUCAGAUAAAAGUUUAAAAGAAUUCACUGUUUGGAGGGAUUUGAAUAUUUACCAUGUGUCCUCUUACAAAGAAAGUACUGGAAUGCAUAUGCAAUAUUGAAAAGUAGGUAAAAGUCAACCCCAACCCUGCGUGCCACCAUUAACCGCAGUGAGAAUUUCAAACCCAAGGCUGGCAGCUUGCCUCAAAUAUUUCCUUUGAAAACGUUUGUAGAAUAUGGGCCUCGGUUCUUGUUGGUAUGCAGCGAGAACACUGUGCUGGUAUUUCAGAUAAUGUAAACAGUUGCUGCAGCUGUCACCCAGGCACUUCAUGAUUUUACAUAGAAGAAGUAGAAAUUAACAAGUCGUGAAAUCUUGAUGGUGCCUGCAUUUGUACCUAGGAUAUGUGUGGGCAUCUCUUCCCAGUUCCUUUGCCAAAGGUACACUUUAUGAAAAUCUUGAAAAAUAAUUAUUAAAAAAAAAUCUGUAUAGAGAUACUGAGGAAUGCAAGUCAUAAAGCAAUUAACAUGUUUUCCAGAUAUGAAUUUUUCCAAAAGGAGAUUGUUUUCCUUCCAAAUCAGUUUCUUCUGAAAUUACCUUCAAUUCAUCAGUAUAGGAAGGACUUGGUGCACCUUAUCAAUGUUCCUGAGCUAUAUCUUCUGAGAUGGACUGAAAUGUUAACUCUUGUUGCUGAUAAGUGACUUGGGCUUCACUUAUUCUGGACCAUUCAGUCUGCUGCAGGAAGAAGCUUUUUGUUCCACUAGGCCACUCUCAGGUUGCUUCCCUGUAUGCUGAGGUUGAAUUUGAUGUACCUGUUGAUGCUUAGGAAAUAAAUGUUUCUAUCAAGUCAGUUCUAUACCCAGAGUAGUGUUGUGUCUACUGCCCACCACGGUCUGUAUUUUCUGCUCAGAAUGGGUAAUACUUCAUGUCUGUGUUCUGAUGACACCAUUUUAGAAACUGGGCACAGAAAUUCUUGUGUCACUUUGACAAGCACAGCAUUCCUUUUCCUGCCAAAAGUGAAUCUCAAAUAUAAUAUUUUAAUUUAUUUUUACAUGCAGUUUAUGCUGAAUCAAGUAAAAGAUGACUAGCUUGGAGAUGCAUCAGAUUUCUUUGCACUUUUCACCACUAGCUGUUUUUUUUCCCCUGGUGCCUGUGUUAUGCUACUUCACAUUUGGUAUUCUGAUCCUAAUGAAUUUUAGGGUAAAUAAGUUGUUCCAAGCUGGCAUCUGUUUGUUCUUAUUUUAAACUUCAUAGAAAAUAGUUUAUUUUUGUGCACUGUUUUACCUGUAAUUAUUGCAAAGAUGCGUCAUAUUAUAUAUGAGAGGAAAAAAUUG